GAUGAACGCUGGCGGCGUGCCUAAUACAUGCAAGUCGAGCGAACAGAUGAGGAGCUUGCUCCUCUGACGUUAGCGGCGGACGGGUGAGUAACACGUGGAUAACCUACCUAUAAGACUGGGAUAACUUCGGGAAACCGGAGCUAAUACCGGAUAAUAUAUUGAACCGCAUGGUUCAAUAGUGAAAGACGGUUUUGCUGUCACUUAUAGAUGGAUCCGCGCCGCAUUAGCUAGUUGGUAAGGUAACGGCUUACCAAGGCAACGAUGCGUAGCCGACCUGAGAGGGUGAUCGGCCACACUGGAACUGAGACACGGUCCAGACUCCUACGGGAGGCAGCAGUAGGGAAUCUUCCGCAAAGGGCGAGAGCCUGACGGAGCAACGCCGCGUGAGUGAUGAAGGUCUUCGGAUCGUAAAACUCUGUUAUUAGGGAAGAACAAAUGUGUAAGUAACUAUGCACGUCUUGACGGUACCUAAUCAGAAAGCCACGGCUAACUACGUG
rnacentral:rRNA from 1 species